ACCUCCGCAAUACACGAAAGUGUGACGGGGUUACCCAAAGUGUUCAAUAGAACUGUGGUAGGUGAGUAAUGUCCCCUACUAGAAAGGAGAGGGCAAGGCUGGUGCCAGCCGCCGCGGUAAAACCAGCUCUUCAAGUGGUCGGGAAUAUUAUUGGGCUUAAAGUGUCCGUAGCCGGUUUAGUAUGUUCCUGGUUAAAUCUGGCAGCUUAACUGUCAGUCAGCUAGGAAUACUACUUUACUAGGGGGUGGGAAAGGUUUGAGGUACUCCAGGGGUAGCGGUGAAAUGCGAUAAUCCUUGGGGGACCACCAGUGGCGAAGGCGUCAGACUGGAACACGCCUGACGGUGAGGGACGAAAGCCAGGGGAGCGAACGGGAUUAGAUACCCCGGUAGUCCUGGCCGUAAACGAUGCGUGCUAGGUGUUGGUAGGGCUUUGAGCUGUAUCAGUGCCGUAGGGAAACUGUUAAGCGCGCCGCCUGGGAAGUACGCUCGCAAGGGUGAAACUUAAAGGAAUUGGCGGGGAAGCACCACAAGGGGUGAAGCCUGCGGUUC
rnacentral:rRNA from 1 species